AACUUUUAGCAACGGAUCCCUUGGUUCUGGCAUCGAUGAAGAACGCAGCGAAAUGCGAUAAGUAAUGUGAAUUGCAGAAUUCAGUGAAUCAUCGAAUCUUUGAACGCACAUUGCGCCCGCCAGUAUUCUGGCGGGCAUGCCUGUUCGAUCGUCAUUUCAACCCUCAUGCCCCAGCGGCCUUGUGUUGGGCACCGGCGACCUCGCUGACGCCCAUCUUGGGCCCAGCGUCCGCCGCCACCGAAAUGAAUUGGCGGUCUCGUCGCGGCCUCCUCUGCGUAGUAGCACAACCUCGCAACAGGAGCGCGACGCGGCCACUGCCGUAAAACGCCCAACUUUUUAAGUUUGACCUCGGAUCAGGUAGGGAUACCCGCUGAACUUAAGCAUAUCAAUAAGCGGAGGCU
rnacentral:misc_RNA from 1 species